rnacentral:rRNA from 1 species
UACAGAGGGGCCAAGCGUUAGGCGGAAUCACUGGGCUUAAAGGGCGCGUAGGCGGGCUGUCAAGUCUGGGGUGAAAUGCCGCGGCUCAACCGUGGAACUGCCUUAGAUACUGACGGCCUCGAGGAAGGUAGGGGCAUGCGGAACUGUAGGUGGAGCGGUGAAAUGCGUUGAUAUCUACAGGAACUCCGGUGGCGAAAGCGGCGUGCUGGACCUUUUCUGACGCUGAGGCGCGAAAGCUAGGGGAGCAAACGGG